rnacentral:ncRNA from 1 species
ACUAUUCCCUGGGAUUGGCUUUGGGCCUUUCCUGCGCAGCUUAGGUGGAUGGCGAAGGAGGCCUUCUUUCACGAAGUCCGAGCCAUCAGUGAGAUACCACUCUGGAAAGGCUAGAAUAUAUUCUAACAUUCUAUCAGGACCUACGGGUCAAGGGACAGUUUCAGAUAGACAGUUUCUAUGGGGCGUAGGCCUCCCAAAAGGUAACGGAGGUGUGUGCAUGUAGC